CUAACAAUAGUGACUGACAAGCAUAUUUCGCCUAUUUCACAUGACGUCUUGGUGAAUUGUGUCGGCGCCAUUCGAGGGUAAUUUUUCGCUUGUAGGCGAUGUUCACAAAUCCUGCACAUCAAGAGAUAAUGUGUUUAGAGCCAGUGGAAAACACACUUCUACAAGUAAUUUCUAAGUACGCUUUCUCAUCAAAGGACAGCAAUACACUUCUGGUGUCCCUAGUGUGAUGUAUGGGGUUUGAUAACAUUUGCAAGUAUAUUGUGCAGUUCAUUAUAAAGUACGCGACAGAGUGUAUUUAUUACUGCACACUUUCUUCGCGUUUUAAUCGCGAAUAGAGCACAAGAAGAAUGAUCGUUUAGAAGCCUCCAUGCGAGCUGCUGUUGGUCUAGUUUCACGAUGGCGUGCUGAACCGCAAGGCCUCCGAAUUUGUAAUUUGAAAACCUCAUCAUUGUUAUGGGAAUUAGAAGCAUAAACUCUCUCCUGUAAAUAGCCUCAAAGGAAAACUCACAAGUAGACAGCUCUGUGCAACAUAGCAGCUGCCAAUUGUAAUUGGACACCAUUUCCUAACAUAACCUUUUUUUAUGGAAGUAGCUGAUACUGAAUCUGAUAUAGGAUUUGAUGUGUUUGCUAGACAGGAAGUUGCCUGUCUGUUGGAGUGUGUAAUGAGAAACUGAAAGAUGUGGGUGGAUCCACUCCCUACACUCCAAUAUGGCUGGCUGUACCAUGCUGCACCAGUCAACUUCCAAGAGAUCAUAGGUGCUGGGUAGCAUAUUUGAGCAUCUGUCAACUGGAUCUGUGUUGUGACUGAUAUUUGUGAAUUGUUAGCCAAGACUGCUGAAGACAGUGCUAUUCAUCACAAAUGCAUGGUUCUCUCUCUCUCCCUCCCCCCCUUUUUUUUUUAAGUAGGCAGAUCAACUUUCCAAUACACUAUGUAACUUUAAACCAGUAUGUAAUAUUCUGUGUAUCAUAUACUUCUGUAUAUCUGUCUGUUAUCCUGAGCAUCAUUUUGUACUAUAUUUGGCAAACCUUAGUCUGUCACAAAAUAUUGUAAACACUAUGUUUCCAAAUUUUGUGAGGGGGAUAUUGUUAUGGAACACCUUUUUUCUAACAUAACCUUUUUUUAUAGAAGUAGCCGAUAGCAGGAUUAAUCCUGAAUCUGGUAUAGGUGAACAGUCUCAGCUCUUUCAAUGAAAGAAUUUCAUUUGAUUUUGUGUACGUUGUAUUAUAUUUCAGGCUAAAAUCUGUAACAAUAAAUUAAUUUAUUAAUACUCUGUAUGUAAGGCUAGAAUUAUUCUUCUUUUAGAAAUAUCUGGCAUACUUAAAAUUCAUAUUAUUGAUUGCAAAAUCUAACAUUAAUUAUUAAAUUUAUUUCUGGAUUCAUUUAUAAAAUAAUGUUAUAUCUUGGUGAUGAUUCUUCUUUUGUCAAGAAAGUUUGUACAUUCUUUUCCUUUGUAAACUCUUUGGAAUAAUGUAUCACAGAAUGUAGUAGAAGAGGGCAUGCCUCUGAUGGAGAUAUAUUUAUGUGAUUGACACUAACAAUGUAAUUUGGAAUAUUAAGUGGAAAUUAUAAAAACAGUGUGAUAUUUAAU